CUGCUGGACUGGGGAAUCCCCACUGUAAACUGGAGACUCUGAGGCUAAAAUACAUGAGAGCCUUGUGUCAAAAGGGUGGGCCAGGAGGAGCGCAAGAUAGAGAGCAGAAGGUAAGAAUCACAUAAUAAGUCAGGAUUGAGAGAAGAUAGAAGUGAUACAGAAUUGUUAGAUAACAGUUACUGAGUGGAGAGCAGCAUAGUUAAGUUUUAGGCAGGUAUAGAUGCAAACUGAAUUGUAGAAGUGAGAACUUAACCUGGGGUCCACUUAGACGUGGGGCCCGAUUAAUGCCAGGAUGAUUUGUUUUUAAAUUAGGAACAGGAAGAAGAGUUAAAAGCGGUACCCUCCAUGUUAGGGUCCCAAGGACCUAUUGAUGUGGGGUUAAUUAAAGGAGUUAUUUUAGUAUAAGUAGUCCUGAAGUCAAAUUUGAGAUUUUAUUAAAAGUAAUUAUUAGUAAUUUAGGAAAAUUUGGGCAGAGCCAUGUGUCAAAAGGGGGGAUAGUAGAGCAGGUUCGGAAACACUUUGUGGCCUAUUGGAUAACGAACUACUUAAAAAACAUUUUUUUUAUAGAUAAGUAUAUUAAAUGGGAAGAAGCGGUCCCAACUUACUGGUUGGACACAAUUAGGGUAGUUGAUUUACUAGGAUCUAUCUCUUUAAAUAAUGGAUUACAUUUUAGCUGAUCAGGUAAACCAUAUAGAAUGCCAGAGUUAGGGAGGCCAGAACAGGUAGACAUAGAAGUUGAAGAUAUACUAACAGAACACAUGGUUAACCAAACCCGUAUGUCCGAGACUUUGUGUCCAACAGGUGAAUUACAGGAGAAGAUGAUUCACUCAAUCCAACCAGGAGACUGGGUGUGGAUCCAGUCCCUGAGGAGAA